UGCGGCUGGAGCCCCUCCUUUCUCGGAAGCAGGAGACAGGAGUCAGUUGGCAGUUGACAGUGAUGUCGACGCGAUUGGCUGCUGGUUCUUCCCGGNCGCGGCAGCGCCCACCANCUUAUCGGUUGUGUUCAGGUAACAGGCAACAGGUCACAGCGGUCAGCAAGAGCGGAGUGCGCGGCGCGCGCUGCUUCUGUUGCCUGUUCCCUGAUCGCUGUUACCUGCCCGGGGCCUGUAGCUCAGUAGGUUAGAGCACCGUCUUGAUAAGGCGGGGGUCGAUGGUUCGAAUCCAUCCAGACCCACCAGGAAUGCGGGGCUGUAGCUCAGUUGGGAGAGCGCCUGCUUUGCAAGCAGGAGGCCGUCGGUUCGAUCCCGUCCAGCUCCACCAUCUCAGGAGUCAGAGGACAGGGAACAGAGGUCAGAAGAAGUCAUAGGCAAGCGGAUAGGCGUUUGCUUCUGGCUUUUUGGGCCAGUGAUCGGUUGUUCUUUAACAAUGUGGAAGAAGUGAAGGGUCUUGCUCUGACGGGCGGGUUCUGGCGCGAGCCGGGGCGUGCGCGGCGGGGCGAGACUGGGUUGAAUUGUAUCGACCCGUUCGUCCUCGAGUUCGGGGCGGGCGGGAGCGCGAAUGCCCGUGGCGCUGGCAGUGUGCAGCGUUAUGGGGUCAAGCGACUAAGUGCAUGUGGUGGAUGCCUUGGCGAUCACAGGCGAGGAAGGACGUGGCAGCCUGCGAAAAGCUGCGGGGAGCUGGCAAACGAGCAUUGAUCUGCAGAGGUCCGAAUGGGGAAACCCGG
rnacentral:misc_RNA from 1 species